rnacentral:rRNA from 1 species
UAAGACCAAAAUGCAACUAAGCCGUCAUAAGCUCAAGAUGCCCCUAGAAUCUUAGGAUUAACUUUACCCACGAAAGCUAAGGCACAAACUGGGAUUAGAUACCCCACUAUGCUUAGCCCUAAAUCUCAGCGACUAAAGCGCUCGCCCGAGAACUACGAGCAUAAACGCUUAAAACUCUAAGGACUUGGCGGUGUCCUAAACCCACCUAGAGGAGCCUGUUCUAUAAUCGAUAAUCCACGUUACCCAACCUCUCCUAGCCACAUCAGCCUACAUACCGCCGUCGCCAGCUCACCUUGAGAGCCCAACAGUGAGCAUAAUAGCGCUAACAAGACAGGUCGAGGUAUAGCCCAUGGAGCGGAAGAAAUGGGCUACAUUUUCUAUAGAACACGAGGGACGUGAAAAAAAGGCGGAUUUAGCAGUAAACUGGAACAAGUCCUCUUUAAGCUGGCCCUAGGACACGUACACACCGCCCGUCACCCUCC